UACGUAGGUGGCAAGCGUUGUCCGGAUUUACUGGGCGUAAAGAGCGCGCAGGCGGUCGUUCAAGUCGCGUGUGAAAGCCCCCGGCUCAACUGGGGAGGGUCACGCGAUACUGAUCGACUCGAAGGCAGGAGAGGGUAGUGGAAUUCCCGGUGUAGUGGUGAAAUGCGUAGAUAUCGGGAGGAACACCAGUGGCGAAGGCGACUACCUGGCCUGUUUCUUGACGCUGAGGCGCGAAAAGCUAGGGGAGCAAACGGG
rnacentral:rRNA from 1 species